rnacentral:rRNA from 1 species
UAAAGGAAGCGAUUCCGGCUACGGAUGGUCAUGCGUCGCAUUAGCUAGUUGGCGGGGUAACGGCCCACCAAGGCGACGAUGCGUAGGGGUUCUGAGAGGAAGGUCCCCCACACUGGUACUGAGACACGGACCAGACUCCUACGGGAGGCAGCAGUGAGGAAUAUUGGUCAAUGGCCGCAGGGCUGAACCAGCCAAGUCGCGUGAGGGAUGACGGUCCUAUGGAUUGUAAACCUCUUUUGUCAGGGAGCAAAGGACGCCACGUGUGGCGUUUUGCGAGUACCUGAAGAAAAAGCAUCGGCUAACUCCGUGCCAGCAGCCGCGGUAAUACGGAGGAUGCGAGCGUUAUCCGGAUUUAUUGGGUUUAAAGGGUGCGCAGGCGGAAUGUCAAGUCAGCGGUAAAAUUUCGGGGCUCAACCCCGUCGUGCCGUUGAAACUGGCGUUCUUGAGUGAGCGAGAAGUAUGCGGAAUGCGUGGUGUAGCGGUGAAAUGCAUAGAUAUCACGCAGAACUCCGAUUGCGAAGGCAGCAUACCGGCGCUCAACUGACGCUCAUGCACGAAAGCGUGGGUAUCGAACAGGAUUAGAUACCCUGGUAGUCCACGCAGUAAACGAUGAAUACUAACUGUCCGGGCCGAUUGAGGUCUGG